rnacentral:rRNA from 1 species
CAGAGGGGGCAAGCGUUGUUCGGAAUUACUGGGCGUAAAGGGCGCGUAGGCGGCCCGCUAAGUCGAACGUGAAAUCCCCGAGCUCAACUCGGGAACUGCGUCCGAUACUGGCGGGCUUGAAUCCGGGAGAGGGAUGCGGAAUUCCAGGUGUAGCGGUGAAAUGCGUAGAUAUCUGGGGGAACACCGGUGGCGAAGGCGGCAUCCUGGACCGGCAUUGACGCUGAGGCGCGAAAGCUAGGGGAGCAAACGGGAUUAGAUACCCCGGUAGUCCUAGCCCUAAACGAUGAAUGCUUGGUGUGGCGGGUAUCGAUCCCUGCCGUGCCGAAGCUAACGCAUUAAGCAUUCCGCCUGGGGAGUACGGUCGCAAGGCUG